rnacentral:rRNA from 1 species
CAGCCGCCACGGUAAUACGAAGGGUGCAAGCGUUACUCGGAAUUACUGGGCGUAAAGCGUGCGUAGGUGGUGGUUUAAGUCCGUUGUGAAAGCCCUGGGCUCAACCUGGGAAUUGCAGUGGAUACUGGGUCACUAGAGUGUGGUAGAGGAUAGUGGAAUUUCCGGUGUAGCAGUGAAAUGCGUAGAGAUCGGAAGGAACAUCUGUGGCGAAAGCGACUAUCUGGGCCAACACUGACACUGAGGCACGAAAGCGUGGGGAGCAAACAGGAUUAGAUACCCCUGUAGUCCCUGUCUCUUAUAC